GCAGCUUAUCCUGUGGAGGAGGUGGCUUCCUGCAGGGUGCUGGCAGGCCGAAACCCACCCCCAUGCCAGUGCCUUCAGCGGUGGCCUGCUGACCUCCCAGGGUGGGGGCCACCGCUUGGCACACAGUGGGAGCUCUGAGAACAUGGGCUAAAACAGAACUUGGGGAACUGGCUUUUCUUGGCCAGAGCAGCCUAUCCCCCGGGCCCUCUGGAGUCAGCCAGAUCCCUGGUUCCAGCCCCUCUCCCAGCUGCCUCUGGUGAGCCAACGGGGCCCAGUCCCCUCUUCCAGGGAACCCUGCACCCUGGGCACCCCACAGGGCUAUGUCCUCUCUGAGACUGUUCUGACACUUAGAAAACAGAUAACAGCUCCUCCAUGUGGGCUAUAUGAGGAGAGAGGAGCAGCAGGCAGGCAGCUCAGCCCAGCCUGGGCACAGCCAGUGCCCAUGGAUUCUGGCUGUAUCGGGAGCGCUGUCUUGCUCAUGGCUGCGUCCCACACCCUUGGCCCUGUGCCUGGCACACAGCAGGCACUUGACAGUAGGAAGCCAUCCCAUGCCUGGGGUGGCCCCAGGCUGUCAGGUUGGGAGUGGGCUGAGCCUUUGUCUGGGUCCUGGCUUCUGCUGCUCAGAACACCACUGGCUUUCUCUUCUCUCCCAAUUCUCUCACCCUCUCAGCCUGGCUUGAGGACACGCCUCUUCCCCCCCUUCAGGAUCACCUUGCCAGACACAAUAUAUGUGUUUAAGAAGCAGACACGUUUGUUGAAUAAAAGAAUGAAGCAAUGGAUGAGGCGUGGGGGCAACCAAGCUGGCUGGCAUAGGCAUCAAUACAUGUGGUGGCUCCUGGAGGCAGGCAGGGCAAGGGCAGCUGCAGGGCACUCACCCGGGCCUUGUCCUCCAUCUUCCCAAGGGCUGUCAGGGCUCCUCCAGUGGGUGCCCAAGGGUCCCUCCUUACCCUGGGCCUCUGGCCACCUUGAUCCCCAGCCUACCUGCUGA